rnacentral:rRNA from 1 species
CUGAUGUGAAAGCCCCCGGCUCAACCGGGGAGGGUCAUUGGAAACUGGGAGACUUGAGUGCAGAAGAAGUGGAAUUCCAUGUGUAGCGGUGAAAUGCGUAGAUAUAUGGAGGAACACCAGUGGCGAAGGCGGCUCUCUGGUCUGUAACUGACGCUGAGGCUCGAAAGCGUGGGGAGCAAACAGGAUUAGAUAC